rnacentral:rRNA from 1 species
ACGAACGCUGGCGGCGUGCCUAAUACAUGCAAGUCGAACGGUCUUUCUAUGGAAGCUUGCUUCCACUGAGAAGAUAGUGGCGAACGGGUGAGUAACACGUGGGUAACCUGCCCAUAAGAGGGGGAUAACAUCCGGAAACGGGUGCUAAUACCGCAUAGUUUUCUUGAUUGCAUGAUUGAGAAAGGAAAGACGGCCUUUGUGCUGUCGCUUAUGGAUGGACCCGCGGCGUAUUAGUUAGUUGGUGAGGUAACGGCUCACCAAGACGAUGAUACGUAGCCGACCUGAGAGGGUGAUCGGCCACAUUGGGACUGAGACACGGCCCAAACUCCUACGGGAGGCAGCAGUAGGGAAUCUUCCGCAAUGGACGAGAGUCUGACGGAGCAACGCCGCGUGAGUGAAGAAAGGUUUUCGGAUCGUAAAACUCUGUUGUCAGAGAAGAACAAGUUGGAGAGUAACUGCUCCAGCCUUGACGGUAUCUGACCAGAAAGCCACGGCUAACUACGUGCCAGCCGCUGC